ACCAUCCCAUUCAGCAAAGGUUUCAAGUGUCUUCGAACACGCCUGGCUUCUAAAUGCUUGUAUGGAAUUCAGCCCUUACCUGAAUUUGCAUUUGGAGUCUAUGUAUUCCGUGUUGUCACUCAUCUCCUAAGGAGGCAUUCAAAUGAGUUUCCCUUUUUAAGAUUUUUUUUUCUCUUUUUUUUCCCAGAUGACUGUUUACUGCACAGGCCCACCAGCAUAUCCAAAAUGUCUUCAGUCUCUCUGUCUUUCAGGAUGAGCCCAAUACUCCCUGGUAGAGCCUAGCAUGGCAGAGGCCUUGGGUUUGAUCUCCAGUGUAGACGAAUGAACCAUUUCUUCUUACCCACGUGCAGCUCUGACGACUUUUCUCUUUAUUUUCAUCAGAAUAAGCCUGCUAUGAUCAGCACACUCAACACUCUCCAGCACUUCCAUAAUUAUCAGACAGAUGGGGUUAUAAUGUUAUAAAACAGCCAGCAUUAAAUACAGGCAACAUGAUGGUGACAGAAAAGUAGUUAGCCAAGGCUGAAAUUAACAACAGCCAACCAACACUGUUGCUGUCUGUUGGGGCCAGGGAUGCUGAAAUUCUAUGGCUUUUUUUUUUUUCUUUUUUUGAAAGGUGACAGGUUGCCAAGCUGCCAAGAACUCCUGCCUCUGCUCAUACUGCUCUGCUGAAGUACAUUUGCGACAUCAACCAUCAAAUUACAUAUAAAUAUGUAAUCAACUAAAGUUAUUUAUAGCUAGCUCAGUGGGUUUACGUUGACGGAAUGGGCUGAGGCUGCCGGUUUGAUCCUUUGCCACUUAUUUGACACAUGAAGAAAAUUCAUCACCUAGUAGUCUGUCCCUACACUCGACCAGGUCACAAAGCUGUGAUCUUCCAGAGACCUGGUUCUACUGUGUAGGUGGACAGUCAUAUCAUUUCAGGUACAACCUCAUAUGGCAAUGUAAGUACUAACCUUCAAAACAAUAAUCAGCCUUGGAAUCUUCCAUCUCAAAACCUCAAUUAGCCAUUCACAAAGGAGAAGAUGCCUUAGUCAUAUGUUUAGAACCAUUUUCAAUAUAUUUAUAAGCACAGGUUGGAUCACAGUGUUCUCAAAUGUAAAACACUUCU
rnacentral:lncRNA from 1 species